GUCUAGUACUCAGAGUUUGAUCCUGGCUCAGGAUGAACGCUGGCGGCGUGCCUAACACAUGCAAGUCGAGCGAACCCUUCGGGGUGAGCGGCGGACGGGUGAGUAACGCGUGGGUAACCUGCCCUGUACACACGGAUAACAUACCGAAAGGUAUGCUAAUACGAGAUAAAAUGUAAUGAUCGCAUGGUCGAUACAUCAAAGCUCCGGCGGUACAGGAUGGACCCGCGUCUGAUUAGCUAGUUGGUGAGGUAAUGGCUCACCAAGGCGACGAUCAGUAGCCGACCUGAGAGGGUGAUCGGCCACAUUGGAACUGAGGCACGGUCCAA
rnacentral:rRNA from 1 species